rnacentral:lncRNA from 7 species
AGUAAGCGCCCACCCAGUGCUUUGCUGGCCAGUAGAGGCUAGUGCUGCUCAGUGGGUGAAACUGUGGUCCCUCUCCUCUCUCCAUCUCCUUUGACCACAUUCAGCAGAAAAAGAAAACAUCUGCAGAUAGUUCUUUAUAACCAGAAGUGCUGUGGUGUCCUGUGGCAGUGUGAGGCACCCAGGCCCUCCCAGUCAGGCUGGGCCUGCCUUAGGCUAGAGGAAAGGAGCCCUCAGCAAUCCAACUCUGCCUUGGGCCCCAGUACAUAACACAGGGCUUGAAAACAUCUGAAUUGUAUGUAGUCUUGAGGGAUCAACACCCUGAACCUGUAAACAUGAUGCUGUGAAGAAACAGGACAGAUUGUUGGGGUCUAUAGGUUUGAGCCACCUUCUCACCAGGUACCAUCCAAAAGGACACCUGCAACUGCAGUUUUCUCCUGAAAUUCCAAAAACUCUGUACAAGUGUUCAGCAAGAAGUAGAAAAGUUGCAGAUCCAUCCACAGUGAGGUGCGUUCUUUGCUCUUGACAUAGAUAUCUGCAGUAUAAAGAGGAGUCAGAUAUUGUACAGAAGGGCCCACAGUCUUCUAACAAAGAGUCCUACUACAGCCAGAGCUGAAAAACUUCUACAGCAUAUCCAUUCAGAUAUGUUCACUGGUCCCACACUGAGGUGUCCUUCAGCUCAAAUGUUGAUGCUUUCCUGUGUGGGGACAGUGAGUAGGACGGCUUUGGUCUUCCCAAACAGGGAGGGAGCCUGUCUUCAAGCCUGGCAGUCACACUUCCAUUUUAGAGAAGAUAAAAGCAGCAGAGGAGAGUUACAGCACAACCACAGCAUCUCAGUUGUUAUGUAGUACUUGAACACAAUGUGUUUCUGGUUAGUUUAAGGAAGGAUAAACAAGAUUUAAUAUCUGGCAAUGAACACAGGAGUUUUUUUUCUUCACCUAUAAAUGAUGUUUGUAUUUGUUCAGAUUUCUGUAGCUUCCACUCUCUCGUAAGACUCCAUUCCCUGCCCUAAUUUCCCAUAUUCCAUAUUUCCAAAAACAUGAGUUGUUGAGCUAAUGAAUUAAAACAUUCUGAGAUUUGCUUUU